rnacentral:rRNA from 2 species
UCAUGGCCCUUACGACCAGGGCUACACACGUGCUACAAUGGCGCAUACAAAGAGAAGCGACCUCGCGAGAGCAAGCGGACCUCAUAAAGUGCGUCGUAGUCCGGAUUGGAGUCUGCAACUCGACUCCAUGAAGUCGGAAUCGCUAGUAAUCGUGGAUCAGAAUGCCACGGUGAAUACGUUCCCGGGCCUUGUACACACCGCCCGUCACACCAUGGGAGUGGGUUGCAAAAGAAGUAGGUAGCUUAACCUUCGGGAGGGCGCUUACCACUUUGUGAUUCAUGACUGGGGUGAAGUCGUAACAAGGUAACCGUAGGGGAACCUGCGGUUGGAUCACCUCCUUA